rnacentral:rRNA from 1 species
UGAAUUGCANAUUUUCAGUGAAUCAUCGAAUCUUUGAACGCACCUUGCGCCCCUUGGUAUUCCGAGGGGCAUGCCUGUUUGAGUGUCAUU